UCGAAUCUUUGAACGCACAUUGCGCCCGCCAGUAUUCUGGCGGGCAUGCCUGUCC
rnacentral:rRNA from 1 species